UGAAAUCCAUACUGGGUAAAAGUGGCAG
rnacentral:sRNA from 1 species